rnacentral:SRP_RNA from 1 species
GGCGAGCCCCCUCGCAUGUGAAUGUCGUGAAUCUGGUCAGGUCGGGAACGAAGCAGCCAUAGCGAAACUAGCAGUGCCGAGGUGUGGUUCGCCUUUC